rnacentral:rRNA from 1 species
GACGAACUUUGGCGGCGUGCUUAACACAUGCAAGUCGAACGGAAAGGCCCUGCUUUUGUGGGGUGCUCGAGUGGCGAACGGGUGAGUAACACGUGAGUAACCUGCCCUUGACUUUGGGAUAGCUUCAGGAAACUGGGGCUAAUACCGGAUAGGAGCUCCUGCUGCAUGGUGGGGGUUGGAAAGUUUCGGCGGUUGGGGAUGGACUCGCGGCUUAUCAGCUUGUUGGUGGGGUAGUGGCUUACCAAGGCUUUGACGGGUAGCCGGCCUGAGAGGGUGACCGGCCACAUUGGGACUGAGAUACGGCCCAGACUCCUACGGGAGGCAGCAGUGGGGAAUAUUGCACAAUGGGCGGAAGCCUGAUGCAGCAACGCCGCGUGCGGGAUGACGGCCUUCGGGUUGUAAACCGCUUUCGCCUGUGACGAAGCGUGAGUGACGGUAAUGGGUAAAGAAGCACCGGCUAACUACGUGCCAGCAGCCGCGGUGAUACGUAGGGUGCGAGCGUUGUCCGGAUUUAUUGGGCGUAAAGGGCUCGUAGGUGGUUGAUCGCGUCGGAAGUGUAAUCUUGGGGCUUAACCCUGAGCGUGCUUUCGAUACGGGUUGACUUGAGGAAGGUAGGGGAGAAUGGAAUUCCUGGUGGAGCGGUGGAAUGCGCAGAUAUCAGGAGGAACACCAGUGGCGAAGGCGGUUCUCUGGGCCUUUCCUGACGCUGAGGAGCGAAAGCGUGGGGAGCGAACAGGCUUAGAUACCCUGGUAGUCCACGCUGUAAACGGUGGGUACUAGGUGUGGGGUCCAUUCCACGGGUUCCGUGCCGUAGCUAACGCUUUAAGUACCCCGCCUGGGGAGUACGGCCGCAAGGCUAAAACUCAAAGGAAUUGACGGGGCCCCGCACAAGCGGCGGAGCAUGCGGACUAAUUCGAUGCAACGCGUAGAACCUUACCUGGGUUUGACAUGGAUCGGGAGUGCUCAGAGAUGGGUGUGCCUCUUUUGGGGUCGGUUCACAGGUGGUGCAUGGCUGUCGUCAGCUCGUGUCGUGAGAUGUUGGGUUAAGUCCCGCAACGAGCGCAACCCUUGUUCACUGUUGCCAGCACGUUAUGGUGGGGACUCAGUGGAGACCGCCGGGGUCAACUCGGAGGAAGGUGGGGAUGACGUCAAGUCAUCAUGCCCCUUAUGUCCAGGGCUUCACGCAUGCUACAAUGGCUGGUACAGAGAGUGGCGAGCCUGUGAGGGUGAGCGAAUCUCGGAAAGCCGGUCUCAGUUCGGAUUGGGGUCUGCAACUCGACCUCAUGAAGUCGGAGUCGCUAGUAAUCGCAGAUCAGCAACGCUGCGGUGAAUACGUUCCCGGGGCU